GGGGUUGUGGCUUAGGGGUAGAGCGCUUGCCUUGCAUGUGUGAGGCACUGAGUUCCAUCCUCAGCACCACA
rnacentral:tRNA from 1 species